rnacentral:rRNA from 1 species
CCUACGGGCGGCAGCAGUGAGGAAUAUUGGUCAAUGGGCGAGAGCCUGAACCAGCCAAGUCGCGUGAAGGAUGACGGCCCUACGGGUUGUCAACUUCUUUUGUCAGGGAGCAAUUGGGUCCACGCGUGGGCUUAGCGAGAGUACCUGAAGAAAAGGCAUCGGCUAACGCCGUGCCAGCAGCCGCGGUAAUACGGGGGAUGCGAGCGUUAUCCGCAUUUAUUGGGUUUAAAGGGUGCGUAGGCGGAAUAUCAAGUCAGCGGUAAAAAUUCGGGGCUCAACCCCGUCGUGCCGUUGAAACUGGUGGUCUGGAGUGGGCGAGAAGUAUGCGGAAUGCGUGGUGUAGCGGUGAAAUGCAUAGAUAGCACGCAGAACUCCGAUUGCGAAGGCAGCAUACCGGCGCCCAACUGACGCUGAAGCACGAAAGCGUGGGUAUCGAACAGGAUUAGAUACCCCAGUAGUC